UAAGCCGCCGGCCGCGGCGCUAACCAAUCAAGUCGAACUAUCACUCCGGCGGCCAUAGGUGCUAAGUACUAUGCAUCUAUGGAGAUCCAUGCGACUACGAUUCUGAGGAUAAAUCCGGUUGCUGACUCGGUCAUCGUUGAAUCGGAUUAGUGUCCGUCCUCUUAUUUUUCUGUUGAUCAUGGAUAUUGAGGUAUAUUUUCACUGAAUGAACGAGCCAACACGUGGAGGUGACGGAAUCAAGUUUGGCUGGACUCAUCUAGUAUAUGCACGUGUAGUCUUCUAUCAUAUUGGAUCUCCAGGGUAAAAAAUAAUGCUGCACACGUUAUCGCAUUGCAGGAUACUAUUUGUGAAGAUUUUUCAAGCGGCAUAGUAGAGAGAAAAGAAGGUCUGCAUAAGCAGUGAACCAGACAGAUGAUUUGGAGAUCUAACAGAUUUAAUCCCGUUCGUUAUGAAAAAUAUACAAAAAAGUUUAAUUGUACUGUUUGUUCAAAAAAAAAGUUCAAUUGUACUCUAUUAUUUAGUGCUGUAUGUAAAUCUUUGUAAGGAUGUACAUUUAACUUGUAAAGUGCA